rnacentral:rRNA from 1 species
GUGAGGAAUUUUGCGCAAUGGGGGCAACCCUGACGCAGCGACGCCGCGUGGAGGACGAAGUCUUUCGGGAUGUAAACUCCUGUCAGUGGGGACGAUAAUGACGGUACCCACAGAGGAAGCACCGGCUAACUCCGUGCCAGCAGCCGCGGUAAGACGGAGGGUGCAAGCGUUGUUCGGAAUUACUGGGCGUAAAGCGUAUGUAGGCGGCAAGUUAAGUUCAAUGUUAAAGCCCACGGCUCAACCGAGGAGAUGCAUUGAAUACUGGCUAGCUAGAGGGUGUUAGAGGAAGACGGAAUUCCCAGUGUAGCGGUGAAAUGCGUAGAUAUUGUGAGGAACAUCGGUAGCGAAAGCGGUCUUCUGGGACAUACCUGACGCUGAGGUACGAAAGCGUGGGGAGCAAACGGGAUUAGAUACCCUUGUAGUCC